UUGAAUGUCUUAAAUCUAUUUCAUCUAAAUCUUAUCAGUUUGACUAUGGUGAUUUCUAUUGUGGCAAUUGAAAUUCAUGUUCUAAAUUCACAUUUGGCCCAUUUUUGGGGUUCUUUUUUUGAUUAAUUUCAUUCAUAUUAAAGUUUCAGUUUUCUGCUUUUAUAUUUUUAGCACCGUUUCAAAAAAUUGGUAUUGAGUUUUCGAGCUGGAUUUGGCAUCGUGGUUGUUAGGUAUAAAUUCCGCACAUAUGUAACUAUACUUUGUAGUUGUUUUACCAAUAGACACUUUAUUUCUUUUGAUCUUUUUUAUUGCACAAUUGUUAACCUUAUUUGGUUUGAUCAUAAGAUAUGCUUAUAUUGUUCAUCUAGAACAUGCAUGUUUUAGAUAUAUAUUUUAAAUAAUUAGUUUAAAACAUGUCAAAUUAAGAUGCAUGUAUCAAAGAAACAAUUGUUAAAGGUGCUUUUGUUAUAGAGAUCACAAUGCUUAUAUAUAAAAUUUGGGAUAUUCAGCAGCAUAGCAGAAUCUUCAAGGUCUUAUUAUUUUUCGAAAUUUAAAGCAUCUGUGUUUUUGUUUUGCUGAUCUCAGUGUUUUUGCUUGCGG
rnacentral:lncRNA from 1 species